GCUGGGCAAGGUGGCACAUGCCUGUAAUUCCAGCGACUUGGGAAGCUGAGGCAGGAGGAUUGCAUGUUCAAAACCAGCCUCAG
rnacentral:sRNA from 1 species